rnacentral:rRNA from 1 species
GACGAACGCUGGCGGCGUGCUUAACACAUGCAAGUCGAACGGAAAGGCCCUGCUUUUGUGGGGUGCUCGAGUGGCGAACGGGUGAGUAACACGUGAGUAACCUGCCCUUGACUUUGGGAUAACUUCAGGAAACUGGGGCUAAUACCGGAUAGGAGCUCCUGCUGCAUGGUGGGGGUUGGAAAGUUUCGGCGGUUGGGGAUGGACUCGCGGCUUAUCAGCUUGUUGGUGGGGUAGUGGCUUACCAAGGCUUUGACGGGUCGCCGGCCUGAGAGGGUGACCGGCCACAUUGGGACUGAGAUACGGCCCAGACUCCUACGGGAGGCAGCAGUGGGGAAUAUUGCACAGUGGGCGGAAGCCUGAUGCAGCAACGCCGCGUGCGGGAUGACGGCCUUCGGGUUGUAAACCGCUUUCGCCUGUGACGAAGCGUGAGUGACGGUAAUGGGUAAAGAAGCACCGGCUAACUACGUG